GUGAGGAAUAUUGGACAAUGGGCGCAAGCCUGAUCCAGCCAUGCCGCGUGCAGGAAGACGCAUCUAUGGUGUGUAAACUGCUUUUGUACGGGAAGAAACACUCCCUCGUGAGGGAGCUUGACGGUACCGUAAGAAUAAGGAUCGGCUAACUCCGUGCUAGCAGCCGCGGUAAUACGGAGGAUCCAAGCGUUAUCCGGAAUCAUUGGGUUUAAAGGGUCCGUAGGCGGUUUAAUAAGUCAGUGGUGAAAGCCCAUCGCUCAACGAUGGAACGGCCAUUGAUACUGUUAGACUUGAAUUACAAGGAAGUAACUAGAAUAUGUAGUGUAGCGGUGAAAUGCUUAGAUAUUACAUGGAAUACCAAUUGCGAAGGCAGGUUACUACUUGUGGAUUGACGCUGAUGGACGAAAGCGUGGGGAGCGAACAGGAUUAGAUACCCGAGUAGUCC
rnacentral:rRNA from 1 species